rnacentral:rRNA from 1 species
UACGUAGGGUGCAAGCGUUGUCCGGAAUUAUUGGGCGUAAAGAGCUCGUAGGCGGUUUGUCGCGUCUGCCGUGAAAGUCCGGGGCUCAACUCCGGAUCUGCGGUGGGUACGGGCAGACUAGAGUGCAGUAGGGGAGACUGGAAUUCCUGGUGUAGCGGUGAAAUGCACAGAUAUCAGGAGGAACACCGAUGGCGAAGGCAGGUCUCUGGGCUGUAACUGACGCUGAGGAGCGAAAGCAUGGGGAGCGAACAGG